GUGACUAGAAAUUUAUUUCAACACAGCUCUAUUUUCAGGGAACUAGGACUUCCGUAAAAAGGGCAACCAACUGUGUAUCUCCUCAGACAACCACACUGAAGAAACUUGAUCACCCACAGAAAUUCUGAACCAGGAACUGUAAGUUCCCAGCAAUAAUUAAUGGCUGAAGGGAUGACUCAUUGCACUUGUAACAGUGCAUUUUCACUGCCAGACGCUGUUAAAAAUGUACCUGUUCUGGACAGCCAAACUUCAGCCUUUUCUGCAAACCAAAGGUCAUCGACGUCAUGACGCAGAAUGGAACAAACACCCCUGACUGUAUCAAUAGUGCUGAGGCAGAAGUAAUCAAGAGCUUCCAGUUCCUCGGAGUAAAUAUCACCAACAAUCCAUCCUGGUCCAUCCACGUCAACACUACAGUCAAGAAUGCACACCAAUGCCUCUACUUCCUCAGAAGGCUAAGCAAAUGCAACACAUCCACAACAACUCUCACCAAUUUUUACAUAUGCACCAGAGAAAGGAUCCUAUUUGGAUGCAUUACAGAUUGGUAUGGCAACUGCUCUGCCCAAGACUGCAAGAAAUUAUAGAGUUGUAAACAUUGGCCAGUCCAUCACGAAAACUAGCCCUCCUUCCAUU